UGGGGAAUAUUGGACAAUGGGCGCAAGCCUGAUCCAGCCAUGCCGCGUGAGUGAUGAAGGCCCUAGGGUUGUAAAGCUCUUUCACCGGUGAAGAUAAUGACUGUAACCGGAGAAGAAGCCCCGGCUAACUUCGUGCCAGCAGCCGCGGUAAUACGAAGGGGGCUAGCGUUGUUCGGAUUUACUGGGCGUAAAGCGCACGUAGGCGGACUAUUAAGUCAGGGGUGAAAUCCCGGGGCUCAACCCCGGAACUGCCUUUGAUACUGGUAGUCUUGAGUUCGAGAGAGGUGAGUGGAAUUCCGAGUGUAGAGGUGAAAUUCGUAGAUAUUCGGAGGAACACCAGUGGCGAAGGCGGCUCACUGGCUCGAUACUGACGCUGAGGUGCGAAAGCGUGGGGAGCAAACAGG
rnacentral:rRNA from 1 species